rnacentral:rRNA from 1 species
AUUGAACGCUGGCGGAAUGCUUUACACAUGCAAGUCGAACGGCAGCACGGGUGCUUGCACCUGGUGGCGAGUGGCGAACGGGUGAGUAAUACAUCGGAACGUACCCAGUUGUGGGGGAUAACUAACCGAAAGGUUAGCUAAUACCACAUACGACCUGAGGGUGAAAGCGGGGGACCGUAAGGCCUCGCGCAAUUGGAGCGGCCGAUGUCUGAUUAGCUAGUUGGUGGGGUAAAGGCCUACCUAGGCGACGAUCAGUAGCAGGUCUGAGAGGAUGAUCUGCCACACUGGAACUGAGACACGGUCCAGACUCCUACGGGAGGCAGCAGUGGGGAAUUUUGGACAAUGGGGGAAACCCUGAUCCAGCCAUUCCGCGUGAGUGAAGAAGGCCUUCGGGUUGUAAAGCUCUUUCGGCAGGGAAGAAACGGUUCUGGAUAAUACCCGGAGCUAAUGACGGUACCUGAAGAAGAAGCACCGGCUAACUACGUGCCAGCCGCCGCAGUAA